AUUGCUGGUAUCAAUUUCUACAGUCUAAAUUGAGACAUGUAUGUAUUAAACUUCUCCCCUCGCCUGUAGAAAUGGUUGUUGGUGUAAGAAAAAGGAACAUUGCACGGGUAGUUACCAACCUUCAAGUGAACUGGUCUGAAAGGUGCUGACCAUUUCUCUGAAGGGGCUGCCUCUCAUCUGUGGAUCCCCUCUGCCCUGUAUCCCUUAUCGUCCUCAUGUAAUACUGAAGCACAGCCCGGUGAGUCAUACAGUAUGUAUAGACCUACCCAUCAAACUGAACUCAGCAUAAACAUACUUUUCCAUUCCUCUUUGGAUGAAGUUUCUCAGCUCAGCAGGACUUAAGAGUUGAUUAUGUGGUCUGAUGUGAUGAUGCUUUCACACUUGACAAACAUCUGGAUGCAGUGCGUGUCAUACCACAUCCAGAGGUGGUUUCAAAGAGGCAGAUAAAUGGCAUUCGUCAGUGGAUCUAAAGUGUGUUUACACCUGGAUUUAUAUGCCAUUAAGCAAGAUCAGAUAGCCCUCCAAAAAUCUGAGAUGCAUUUCAACGCAAUGUGUAAACUGUGUAAUAAACUUAUCACUCUGA